rnacentral:rRNA from 1 species
UAAUCAUUAGUCUUUUAAUUGAAGGCUGGUAUGAACGGUUGGACGAGGUAUAAGCUGUUUCAUAUAAAUUUAUAAUAGAAUUUUAUAUUUUAGUCAAAAAGCUAAAAUAUAUUUAAAAGACGAGAAGACCCUAUAAAUCUUUAUAUUUUGUGUUGUUUAAAUUUUUUGGAAUCGGUUUAUUUUUAUAAUAUAAAAUAUUUUGUUGGGGUGAUAUUAAAAUUUAAUUAACUUUUAAUUAUUUAAAAUCAUUAAUUUAUGAGUUAUUGAUCCAUUAAUAGUGAUUAUAAGAUUAAGUUACUUUAGGGAUAACAGCGUAAUUUUUUUGGAGAGUUCAUAUCGAUAAAAAAGUUUGCGACCUCGAUGUUGGAUUAAGAUAUAAUUUUAGGUGUAGUCGCUUAAAUGUUAAGUCUGUUCGACUUUUAAAUUCUUACAUGAUCUGAGUUCAGACCGGCGUAAGCCAGGUUGGUUUCUAUCUUUAAACUUUUAUAAUGCCUUAGUACGAAAGGACCAGGCAUUAAAAUAAUAAUAUUUUAUUUAUAGAAUGUGAUUAAUU